rnacentral:lncRNA from 12 species
AGCUUCAAAAGGGAUACUUAAAUGGCCAGCCCCAUUCAUCCCAUAAGCCAGGAAAGGUAUGUUAAACAUUGGAGCUAUUUCUAUUAACUUUCCUCAGGUAUGUUAAACAAGAGACAGAACUAGGCUACAUUGUCACACCUCUGCUACUAUUGCACAUAGAAGUUUGACAGGUGAUGGAGGCUUAUAUUGUUUAUUUUAGUCACCAAUAUUCAAAAUUCAUGUUCAGAAUGACAAGCUAAAUCAUUUUGUAAGAUGCCAACAGUAAAUAGUU